GAAGCAAAUGCACUAUAAUGGUUGCGGUUUUUACAACAAGGAAUUUAUAGAAGACCUCCACAUCAAAAAUAUAAAUCUCCUCUCUAACCCAAAACCAAAAUAUAGCUGCACAACACAAUCAGACUUGCAGCAAGAAUCCCCUAUUCUGCAAUCUGCAACACCACUUUGAACAAUCCUCAAAGUGAACUAUCCCCCUAUAUCACAACAGGUCCAAUUCCAGCAGUCUUCACAGGAUGCCAAGCCUCUCAGAAAAUUCUAGCAGUCUUCACAGGAUGUCAAGCCUACAC
rnacentral:lncRNA from 1 species